rnacentral:rRNA from 1 species
GUCCACGCUGUAAACGAUGAGUGCUAGACGGUGGAGGUAUUGACCCCUUCGCUGCCGAAGCCAACGCGUUAAGCACUCCGCCUGGGGAGUACGGUCGCAAGACUAAAACUCAAAGGAAUUGACGGGGGCCCCGCACAAGCGGUGGAGCAUGUGGUUUAAUUCGACGCAACGCGCAAAACCUUACCUGGGUUAAAUCCGCCGGAAGCUGGCUGAAAGGCUGGUGUGCCCUUCGGGGAAUCGGCGAGAAGGUGCUGCAUGGCUGUCGU